CCCAGCUAGGCUACCUCCAAGGCUCCAACCAUGUAUUCCUAUCCCAUCACAACCAAGCCACCGAUGAGCUGAUGGUGGGUGAGCCGAUGCCGAUCCCCCCGCUGGACCCGUUCCUGUUCGACGGGCCGGCCGCGCCAAGGAUCAUCGACGACGACGACGACGACGAGCCCGCCACCGUGAUCGUGAUCGACGACGACGAGCCCGCCCCCGUGAUCGUGGUCGACGACGACGACGACGACGUGCCCGUCACCGUGAUCGUGGUCGACGACGACUAGCUAGCUAGCUAGCGCGUGCGCUAGAGGCUAGCGAUAAUAAUAAGGGAUCAAUCUAGCUGAGCCGUGAUAUGGCAUGUUCGUCUGCGAAACUCUACAUCUCUGGGGCUUCAUGACUCCAGUCCAGUCUUCUAUUUGCUUUCUUUCGCGCGCAGAACUCCAGAGUCUUCUUGCCCAUGUAAUAAUACAGUGAGAGGUGGCCAAAACGGGAGGGCGAGACGUGAUCUGUAGACUGUAGGUGCAGUCCUGAGUGCUGAGAAGAAGAAAUCGAUCUGAGGUCUGUCUCGUUUACUCUAGGUCUAGGUACCAACUGAAGAAUGGACAAUCCUUUGCUUGUUUUACUGUAU
rnacentral:lncRNA from 7 species